rnacentral:rRNA from 1 species
GACGAACGCUGGCGGCGUGCUUAACACAUGCAAGUCGAACGGAAAGGCCCAGCUUGCUGGGUGCUCGAGUGGCGAACGGGUGAGUAACACGUGGGUGAUCUGCCCCUAACUUCGGGAUAAGCUUGGGAAACUGGGUCUAAUACCGGAUAGGACAAUCGUUUAGUGUCGGUUGUGGAAAGUUUUUUCGGUUAGGGAUGAGCCCGCGGCCUAUCAGCUUGUUGGUGGGGUAAUGGCCUACCAAGGCGUCGACGGGUAGCCGGUCUGAGAGGGUGGACGGCCACAGUGGGACUGAGAUACGGCCCAGACUCCUACGGGAGGCAGCAGUGGGGAAUAUUGCACAAUGGGCGCAAGCCUGAUGCAGCGACGCCGCGUGGGGGGUGACGGCCUUCGGGUUGUAAACCUCUUUCGACAGGGACGAAGCUUGGGUGACGGUACCUGUAUAAGAAGCACCGGCUAACUACGUGCCAGCCGCCGCCGUAAGAC